CCUCCCUCGCGGCUCGCAGCAAGAUGGGUAGCCGGGCCAGGGCCGGGGACCUGGGAUCCCACCGCCGACGGUCGGCGGGCAUCCCGGAGCCUGCCCCCGGCGCUGGAAGAGAAAGUGAAAUGAAGCGCCUUUCCCCAAACAGCACCUACCAGGUCCCCAGUCCCGUGCAGCUGCCUCGCUCCUCCAAGCGCCGCCGGUCCCCGCCCUCGGGCCCCAGGCUCCGUUCUCUUUGACAAUGGCGCGUCCCCUUUAAGGAAUAAUCCGAUCGGGACCGAUCCGUGGUUAAACCUCCCUCCGACUCUGAUUUUAACCGGAUUUCUGUCUCUCCCAGAGCCCGACGGGCGCCCGGCGGUGCUGCGAGCUCUGCCCACCCCUUCCCUGCCCCGCCCACCCACUCGCCUUCCUGAUUGGCGAGGGAGACUACACCAGGAACAGCGAUCCUCGCCCUCCACUGGUCCGCCUCCCCGCCGCUCAGAGUUUCCCCACCUUCGCCCCGCCCCCUUCCCCGGGUUGGACCUACCUCUAAUCACUCUCGGUCCUCGCCUCCAACGUUGCUUUGGAGAACUGGCAGUCACGGCUCAGCCUCCCGCCUCCGGAAAGCUAACUUUAUUUUUAUUGGUAGAAAGACAUCUUCCUGUGCACCUGAUUGGACAAGGAAGGGCAAGUCUGCACGCCCCUUACCUAUUAUCACUCUCCCUGGACGGCUGAAAGACAGUCAAAGUCUUCCUUACUUUGCCACCCUCCAAGCCUCUGUCCCUUUAAAUGUUGGUAGAGGUCGAGCACAACCUAUACUGAGGAAGGCGGGAAAGGGAGAUGGAAAGGAUGCAAAAAUCUUCAGAUAAGAAGCACAUCACACCAGCUGUGGGAUCCUGAGAAUCCAAUCCUGCCGUUUCGUGAAUGGAGUGAGAACACCUGAAAUCCUAGUACUGGCUCCUGAGAAUUAACCAAGUUCACACUCCCUGUCCACUCUGCUCACAUCCUUGACUUUCUGGCUUGGCGCACCCGGAAGAGUUUACGAAGGUGUCGGCAAACCUAGGGGUUUCCUUGUUUAUCUUGCAAUCGGACAUUCAGAAAAGCGUUAAGUCCUUCCCAAUAGAAGUUCCGUUUAGGUCACGUCCUGUGUGUCGUACUGGCGUUUGCGCGGGACUACGUUAAUUUUUUAGAAAGAUUAAACAUAUUGUCCUUUCUGCUGAUAUUCUCAAAGUCCCUCUUGCUACAAAUGCGGGCACCAGAGAGCUAGUCUUUGAAGGACAGUGGCACCUUUUUUUUUUGGGGGGGGGGACGUCUACCCAAAGGAAGAGGGAGAAGUCUGUCAAGGAGAAGCCUUACAGUGGCAGAACCCUGCUCAGUAAAGAGGAGGGAUCCUGCGACAGCCUAGGCAUCUACAUUAGCUUAUCACCAGGUUCCUACCCCAGAUGUAGGAUACGAAGGUUAUUUCCAGAAAAACUGAGUGUGAUCACGGCUUUGGGACCCGCCGAGAAAUAUUAAAGAACGAG
ensembl:lncRNA